rnacentral:rRNA from 1 species
AUGAUGAUGUCAGAAAAAACUAUGGAUUUGUUUUCAGAGUUGAAAGAAAGAGAUAGUGAAUUUCAGUACACCGUUCAAGUGGAUAGUGAGAGUAGGAUAAGAACUAUUUUGUGGACUAACAGACGUAGCAAGCUCCAAUACCAUCAUUUUGGCGAUGUAGUUACUUUUGAUACCACGUACAAGACAAACUUGUAUGAUAUGCCUUUUGGCUUGUUUGUUGGAGUUAGCAAUCACUUCCAGAAUGUUUUGUAUGCUGGAGUUUUGAUGCGUGAUGAGAAGGUAGAGAGUUUUGAGUGGGUGUUCAGCGAAUUUGUAAAGUUGAUGGGCGGGAAGAAACCAAUAACAAUAUUAAUAGAUCAGGCAAGAGCUAAGGAGGUUGCAAUAAAAAAUGUUUUUCCUAGCACAAAUCACCGAUGGUGCAAGUGGCACGUAUUGAAAAAAGCAAAGGAGUCGCUAGGAAGCAAUCAUACGAAGAAGUCAGAUUUUUGUACAGAAAUUCAUCGUCUAUGUGACGAAAUGUUGUCUGUAGAAGAAUUCUAA